AGUUCGGAUCGGAGUCUGCAACCCGACUCCGUGAAGCUGGAUUCGCUAGUAAUCGCGCAUCAGCCAUGGCGCGGUGAAUACGUUCCCGGGCCUUGUACACACCGCCCGUCAAGCCAUGGAAGCCGGGGGCGCUUGAAGUGCGUUGCCGCAAGGCGCGCCCUAGAGCGAAACCGGUGACUGGGGCUAAGUCGUAACAAGGUAGC
rnacentral:rRNA from 1 species